UUAAGCGACUAAGCGUACACGGUGGAUGCCCUGGCAGUCAGAGGCGAUGAAGGACGUGCUAAUCUGCGAAAAGCGCCGGCGAGGUGAUAUGAACCUUUGACCCGGCGAUGUCCGAAUGGGGAAACCCAGUGUGUUCCGACACACUAUCGUUAACUGAAUACAUAGGUUAACGAGGCGAACCGGGGGAACUGAAACAUCUAAGUACCCCGAGGAAAAGAAAUCAACCGAGAUUCCCCCAGUAGCGGCGAGCGAACGGGGAGCAGCCCGGAGUCUGAAUCAGCUUGUGUGUUAGUGGAACGGUCUGGAAAGUCCGACGGUACAGGGUGAUAGUCCCGUACACGAAAAUGCACAUGCUGUGAACUCGAAGAGUAGGGCGGGACACGUGGUAUCCUGUCUGAAUAUGGGGGGACCAUCCUCCAAGGCUAAAUACUCCUGACUGACCGAUAGUGAACCAGUACCGUGAGGGAAAGGCGAAAAGAACCCCGGCGAGGGGAGUGAAAAAGAACCUGAAACCGUGUACGUACAAGCAGUGGGAGCACCUUCGGGUGUGACUGCGUACCUUUUGUAUAAUGGGUCAGCGACUUAUAUUCUGUAGCAAGGUUAACCGUAUAGGGGAGCCGAAGGGAAACCGAGUCUUAACUGGGCGUUAAGUUGCAGGGUAUAGACCCGAAACCCGGUGAUCUAGCCAUGGGCAGGUUGAAGGUUGGGUAACACUAACUGGAGGACCGAACCGACUAAUGUUGAAAAAUUAGCGGAUGACCUGUGGCUGGGGGUGAAAGGCCAAUCAAACCGGGAGAUAGCUGGUUCUCCCCGAAAGCUAUUUAGGUAGCGCCUCGUGAACUCAUCUUCGGGGGUAGAGCACUGUUUCGGCUAGGGGGCCAUCCCGGCUUACCAACCCGAUGCAAACUACGAAUACCGAAGAAUGUUAUCACGGGAGACACACGGCGGGUGCUAACGUCCGUCGUGAAGAGGGAAACAACCCAGACCGCCAGCUAAGGUCCCAAAGUCAUGGUUAAGUGGGAAACGAUGUGGGAAGGCACAGACAGCCAGGAUGUUGGCUUAGAAGCAGCCAUCAUUUAAAGAAAGCGUAAUAGCUCACUGGUCGAGUCGGCCUGCGCGGAAGAUGUAACGGGGCUAAACCAUGCACCGAAGCUGCGGCAGCGACACUAUGUGUUGUUGGGUAGGGGAGCGUUCUGUAAGCCGUUGAAGGUGUGCUGUGAGGCAUGCUGGAGGUAUCAGAAGUGCGAAUGCUGACAUAAGUAACGAUAAAGCGGGUGAAAAGCCCGCUCGCCGGAAGACCAAGGGUUCCUGUCCAACGUUAAUCGGGGCAGGGUGAGUCGACCCCUAAGGCGAGGCCGAAAGGCGUAGUCGAUGGGAAACAGGUUAAUAUUCCUGUACUUGGUGUUACUGCGAAGGGGGGACGGAGAAGGCUAUGUCAGCCGGGCGACGGUUGUCCCGGUUUAAGCAUGUAGGCGGAGGUUCCAGGUAAAUCCGGUACCUUGUUAACGCUGAGGUGUGAUGACGAGGCACUACGGUGCUGAAGUGAUAAAUGCCCUGCUUCCAGGAAAAGCCUCUAAGCAUCAGGUAACACGAAAUCGUACCCCAAACCGACACAGGUGGUCAGGUAGAGAAUACCAAGGCGCUUGAGAGAACUCGGGUGAAGGAACUAGGCAAAAUGGUGCCGUAACUUCGGGAGAAGGCACGCUGAUAUGUAGGUGAAGUCCCUGCGGACGGAGCUGAAAUCAGUCGAAGAUACCAGCUGGCUGCAACUGUUUAUUAAAAACACAGCACUGUGCAAACACGAAAGUGGACGUAUACGGUGUGACGCCUGCCCGGUGCCGGAAGGUUAAUUGAUGGGGUUAGCGGCAACGCGAAGCUCUUGAUCGAAGCCCCGGUAAACGGCGGCCGUAACUAUAACGGUCCUAAGGUAGCGAAAUUCCUUGUCGGGUAAGUUCCGACCUGCACGAAUGGCGUAAUGAUGGCCAGGCUGUCUCCACCCGAGACUCAGUGAAAUUGAACUCGCUGUGAAGAUGCAGUGUACCCGCGGCAAGACGGAAAGACCCCGUGAACCUUUACUAUAGCUUGACACUGAACACUGGUCCUUGAUGUGUAGGAUAGGUGGGAGGCUUUGAAGCGUGGACGCCAGUCUGCGUGGAGCCAUCCUUGAAAUACCACCCUUUAAUGGCUGGUGUUCUAACGUAGACCCGUGAUCCGGGUUGCGGACAGUGUCUGGUGGGUAGUUUGACUGGGGCGGUCUCCUCCCAAAGAGUAACGGAGGAGCACGAAGGUUGGCUAAUCCUGGUCGGACAUCAGGAGGUUAGUGCAAUGGCAUAAGCCAGCUUGACUGCGAGCGUGACGGCGCGAGCAGGUGCGAAAGCAGGUCAUAGUGAUCCGGUGGUUCUGAAUGGAAGGGCCAUCGCUCAACGGAUAAAAGGUACUCCGGGGAUAACAGGCUGAUACCGCCCAAGAGUUCAUAUCGACGGCGGUGUUUGGCACCUCGAUGUCGGCUCAUCACAUCCUGGGGCUGAAGUAGGUCCCAAGGGUAUGGCUGUUCGCCAUUUAAAGUGGUACGCGAGCUGGGUUUAGAACGUCGUGAGACAGUUCGGUCCCUAUCUGCCGUGGGCGCUGGAGAAUUGAGGGGGGCUGCUCCUAGUACGAGAGGACCGGAGUGGACGCAUCACUGGUGUUCGGGUUGUCAUGCCAAUGGCACUGCCCGGUAGCUAAAUGCGGAAGAGAUAAGUGCUGAAAGCAUCUAAGCACGAAACUUGCCCCGAGAUGAGUUCUCCCUGAGACCUUGAGUCUCCUGAAGGAACGUUGAAGACGACGACGUUGAUAGGUCGGGUGUGUAAGCGCAGCGAUGCGUUGAGCUAACCGAUACUAAUGAACCGUGAGGCUUAACCUU
rnacentral:rRNA from 2 species